UGUGGCACUGCUGAAAAUGGCCGCAUUAAGAAUGAUGAUCAUGUGAGUCGUUUCUUUCAAAUCGAACAAUCCAAAGAUUAAAGUGUGUUCAUAAUAAGAAUAAUAAUCUUCAAAAGUUUCUAAUAAGAUUUUAGCAGGGUCAAAGAGUAAGCCAUGCAAGCAGAGUGGAGCCUAUGGCAUUACAUCCCAGAAGGUAGCACCUCUUAAUAGUCACUGCUGUGAGAACAUAGAAUCUCACAUGGAGUCUGUGAGAUUUGCCUUCCCAUGCUCAGUAUUGACCCCAGACCAGGGGAGAUCAUCCGUAAAGUUACUUGUACUGGAAGAUGGGAUGCAGAUAAUGAUAAUUUAUGUGGAAAUUCAGAAUGAGAGGUAAAUACUAAAGUUUGUUGGAAUGACAGUAUAUCGUUACUUAACACACUUCUGUCUUUAAUGCAUUAAAGAUGUGAAGUGAUAUAUCAGUUCAACAGGAUGCUGAAACAGUGUCAUGAUAUCAGGCUGAGGAAGCAGUGCAUGGGAUGUUGGAGAGUUCAUAUUUCCUUGUAGGAUGUUUGGGAGAACUUUGUUACGCUUUCUGUGAUGUCAGAGGUGAGAGAUAGCACUGUACCUGGACACAGGACACUCUUCUUCUCCAGUAAACAGCACUUUGACUUUGAACGAACAGUGAGCAACACGUUUCUGUUCCCUGUUAUUGCACAGGAACUAACAGGAGUCUGUGUAUUAAGGUUAGUGUCUUUUGAAGAGCUUCAUUAUUUUUAGUAAAUGAUAAAGGCCCAAAGAGAACAAUGUAACUUCAUAUUAUAUAAGAGAAACUCAAAUAAUUUAAAGAACUGAAGCGUUUUUCAAAAGAGAAUCCACGUGAUUGGGAACUUCAUGCAGGUAGCUCAGGGCACAAUCCCAAGUAGGUCACUAGGAUUAACCAGGGCUCCACAAUGAGAGGCCAAGCAGGCAGAGAGCAGCUUAUCCUGGGUCUUAGAAUGACAAGUCAUGGUUAUUCUUCUAGACCGAGGAAGCAUAUCUGCACAUCAGCAGUAUGGCCUCAGUUAUACAGUAGCAGACUUUUCAUGGUAAGGAUCUGAGCAGGACAGUUGAGCUGGGUUGGACUCGUAGCAGGGCUGUACUUGAUUCAUUGCAAUGUGCACCGAUGUGAUGGCUCAUGUAUCCUGUUUGUUAACAGGCCUGGGAAGCCAUCACUGGUGAGACAUGUUACGCUGUCAUAUUGCGGUAGCACCAGAGAGAUCAGAAGACUGGAGACUUCCCGACAGUUCAUAUUCCUUGUAGGAUCUCUCAGUAUAGCACUCUUGAAAUGGUAAAGCUUAGCGACAUUUGGGAGGAGCUUCCUGACACUUUUACGUGUGUAGUGUGAGAGACAGAAUGUCUGUAAUCUUUACCAUUUUGAUAUGGCGCUGUACCCAGACCUCUGACAUCCAUAAGGAGCCCUUCUUGUCUGACAGAGCAACCAGAAUGUUUCCCGAUUUCCAGUUAUCACUCAGGAAGUUGGUUCCAGCCCUGAAGGAUGUUGAGUUUCUGAGUUAGCAAGGAGCAUGCAGUGUCUUCGUCUCUGUCUCCGCCUGUCCACCGUCUGCAAGGAGAGGCAUACUGAAGUCCUGGCGUGGCAUCAGUGGAGGAAGCUGAUCCUAACGAUGGCCGAUGUGAAGUUCCAGGGCGAGAAAAUACCAUGCAGUACCUGAGGCUCCGUCCACCUCUUGUGCUAAAGUGCUGGAAUGGCAUCAGUGAAGAAUGUUGAGUUUCUGGGCAAGAAAGGAUGAUACAGCAUCAUCUUCAGCAGUGCACCAUCUACAAGGAGCCCCUGUACUGAAAGAUGACCACAAGGGGCUUCUGGGAUAGUGCAGUGUCUGGAUGUGGAAUUCUGUAACAGCAGGGAGGAUGAUGAGAGGCACCAGGGUCUAUGCAAUGGGGAGAUGUGUGGGGUCCCACCAAAUUUUAUUUUCUACGAGAUAGUGCGCAACA